rnacentral:rRNA from 1 species
UACGGAGGGUGCAAGCGUUAUCCGGAUUUACUGGGUUUAAAGGGUGUGUAGGCGGGUCUAUAAGUCAGGGGUGAAAUCUCCGGGCUCAACCCGGAAACUGCCAUUGAUACUAUAGGUCUUGAAUAUUGUGGAGGUGGGCGGAAUGUGUCAUGUAGCGGUGAAAUGCUUAGAGAUGACACAGAACACCGAUUGCGAAGGCAGCCCACUACGCAACUAUUGACGCUGAGGCACGAAAGCGUGGGGAUCAAACAGG